GGGUACUUUCUUCAGUAGCCCAUUUACUGAAAUUGGAACAACACAGUGACGAUUAGCAUGAUCUCUGCACAAGGAUAACAUAAAAACUUGUGGUGUUCCAUAUUUUU